GGGAAACCGUCGGUAACAGGGAACGAUACGGACACGGAUAAGAUAUAGUUCUACGAGACACUGUAGAAAUUAUUCUUUCCGGUGAUACCGAAAAGACCGUUUACGUCGAACUCCAGUACAUCUGAUACCCGACGAAAAGACCUAAAAGUAACGUGACUCUGGCUAAUGGCUGACUGAGGGAUAGGACCGUGAUAUCUGACUAGCUCCAAAAGAACCAAAUCAAAGUCCCACACCAGUGAUACUUUGACGCAUGGUUCUGGACGGUUUGAUACCCCACAGAAAAUGGCAUAUCAAAGGCUCUUAAUUGACCGGAGUGUCGUGAAUCGUGCUAUGCAUUGUCGAAAUCGCGGAACGUAGCCCGUUAAUGGAACGUUCCGAUCGGCCUGUAGUGAAAAGGUAUGAUAAAGAUCCAGCAUCGUGGAGAUAGGGGUAAUAAAGGGAUUGCAGUCCCUUCCCAUACACCAGCGAACUCAAGGUGUUCCAUGCGGAUAAGUUAUUUCGGGGAAAUACCUGGCGUCCAUGAGUCCCAUAGUAGGUCUCUAGUUGGUUGCGAUAGUCCCUUGACAUACCAGUCUCCCCUGGAAGACACCAAUCUACCAACUCCAGAUGCUCCUGCAUUCUCAAUGGAUGAUGUUCUCCUUUUGGAUCCGCCCGAAGGCAAGUUAAAACAGAAGGAGCAGAGGAUGAUCCUGAUUAAGGACAACCCUUCUGGGUGUCACGCUUGCCUCCUUU